GACGAACCGUGCGAACGUUGUUCGGAAUCACUGGGCUUAAAGGGCGCGUAGGCGGGUCAGCAAGUCCGGGGUGAAAGCUUUCGGCUCAACCGGAAAAGGGCCUUGGAUACUGCUGGUCUGGAGGAAGGUAGGGGCGUGUGGAACUUCCGGUGGAGCGGUGAAAUGCGUAGAUAUCGGAAGGAACGCCGGUGGCGAAAGCGACACGCUGGACCUUUUCUGACGCUGAGGCGCGAAAGCCGGGGGAGCAAACGGG
rnacentral:rRNA from 1 species